rnacentral:rRNA from 1 species
UACGUAGGGGGCAAGCGUUGUCCGGAUUUAUUGGGCGUAAAGAGCGUGUAGGCGGCCUGACAGGUCUGCUGUGAAAGCCCGGGGCUCAACCCCGGAACGGCUCACGAAACUGCGGGGCUCGAGUGCGGAAGAGGCAAUCGGAAUUCCCAGUGUAGCGGUGAAAUGCGUAGAUACUGGGAAGAACACCGGAGGCGAAGGCGGAUUGCUGGGCCGACACUGACGCUGAGGCGCGAAAGCCAGGGGAGCAAACGGG